UACGUAGGGUGCAAGCGUUGUCCGGAAUUAUUGGGCGUAAAGAGCUCGUAGGCGGUCUGUCGCGUCGGCUGUGAAAACUCGGGGACUCAACUCCGAGCUUGCAGUCGAUACGGGCAGGCUAGAGUUCGGCAGGGGAGACUGGAAUUCCUGGUGUAGCGGUGAAAUGCGCAGAUAUCAGGAGGAACACCGGUGGCGAAGGCGGGUCUCUGGGCCGUAACUGACGCUGAGGAGCGAAAGCAUGGGGAGCGAACAGG
rnacentral:rRNA from 1 species